ACGGCGGUGUUUGGCACCUCGAUGUCGGCUCAUCACAUCCUGGGGCUGAAGCAGGUCCCAAGGGUAUGGCUGUUCGCCAUUUAAAGUGGUACGCGAGCUGGGUUUAGAACGUCGUGAGACAGUUCGGUCCCUAUCUGCCGUGGGCGUUGGAAGAUUGAGGGGGGCUGCUUCUAGUACGAGAGGACCGAAGUGGACGCAUCACUGGUGUUCGGGUUGUCAUGCCAAUGGCAUUGCCCGGUAGCUAAAUGCGGGAAAGAUAAGCGCUGAACGCAUAUAAGCACGAAACUUGCCCCAAGAUGAAUCUUCCCUGAAACAGAAAUGUUUACUGAAGGGACGUUGAAGACUACGACGUUGAUAGGCUAGGUGUGUAAGCAUAGCAAUAUGUUGAGCUAACUAGUACUAAUGACCCAAGAGGCUUAACCUUACAACACCAGAGGUGUUU
rnacentral:rRNA from 1 species